UCAUGUUUUUUUUGUUCUUUCUUUGGUGGGCAUGCUUUUCGUUUUUAUGGAUAUUCUUUCUUCUACUCUCUGGUCUUCGUCUUCGUUCAUUCAGCGAAAUUCUGAGAUUCAAAUUUGAUUCAUGACAGUUCAGAUGCGAAUUCAGCUUCAUCGUCAAGCUUCUCUCUCGGAAACUCUCCCUCGCUUCUGCUUGAUCAGGGAAAAAGAUCCAACUUACUCGAAGUUUUUGUUUCUGGAGUCUUAUUGAUAGCUGUUAAUGGGUGCCCCGAAACAGAAGUGGACAGCUGAAGAAGAAGCGGCCCUUAAAGCUGGAGUGCUUAAGUAUGGAACUGGAAAGUGGCGGACUAUACUCUCUGAUCCGGAAUUUAGUUCAGUUUUGAAAUCUCGCUCAAAUGUGGAUCUCAAGGACAAAUGGAGGAAUAUAAGUGUCACUGCAUUGUGGGGAUCGAGGAAGAAAGCUAAACUCGCGCUUAAAAGAAUUCUUCCAACUCCUACGCAGGAUGUUGACUCUUCAACUCUUAGCACUGUGCCUCUGAGUUAUGAUGAAGGAAAGACAAAUUCAUCUCCUCCAAAAGUUUCCGGUGAAUCACCACAAAAUGAUGCUUCGAAAAGAUCAAUUACGAGUUUGGAUAAGAUCAUCUUGGAGGCACUCGCCAACCUGAAGGAGCCGCGAGGUUCUGACAGAACAUCAAUCUUUCUGUAUAUAGAGGAUAAUUUCAGGACGCCACUCAAUGUGCAAAGGCAUGUGGCAGUAAGACUAAAGCAUUUGACAUCAAUUGGUACAUUAAUUAAGACGAAACACAUUUACAGGAUUGCUCCGGAUUCAGUGACCACAGGAACAACAAGACAGAGAUCUCCUCAACUACUUUUGGAAGGAAACAAGGAAGAAGAUACACUAAAUGUGGAAGAAAACGGUGUAAGCUCUCUUAUUAAAUCCCGAGUAGACGAGGAGCUAUUUAAGAUAAAGGGUAUAACUGCCCAAGAGGCGGCUGUAGCAGCUGCAAGAACAGUUGCAGAGGCGGAAUUCGCGAUUGCUGAGGCUGAAGAGGCAGCAAGAGAGGCAGAGAAAGCAGAAGCCGAAGCCGAAGCUGCUCAGAUUUUUGCAAAGGCAGCGAUGAAAGCUUUGAAGCAUAGGAUGCGUAAUCAUAUAUGCAGAUAGUGAGGAUCAGAUCAGAUCUUCGAGUUUUCAGUCUUGAAUCUGGCGAUAUAUCAUCGCCGGUAUGGGGACAAAGUAGAAUUUCAUUGUCAGCCAAAGUUUCAGAUAAGAAAGCUUGAAAGUUUGCAGGUGGUGAAUCAGAUUCUUCAGCAUGUUCUUCAUCUUCCUCACCAUCAGUUCCAGCUGCCACAAGCUCUUCGAGACCCAACGUCUGGAGCU